rnacentral:rRNA from 1 species
UUCGGAUUGUAGGCUGCAACCCGCCUGCAUGAAGUUGGAAUUGCUAGUAAUCGCGGAUCAGCAUGCCGCGGUGAAUACGUUCCCGGGGAUUGUACACACCGCCCGUCACACCAUGAGAGUCGGGAACACCCAAAGUCCGUAGUCUAACCGCAAGGAGGGCGCGGCCUAAGGUGGGUUCGAUAAUUGGGGUGAAGUCGUAACAAGGUAGC